UACGUAGGGUGCGAGCGUUAAUCGGAAUUACUGGGCGUAAAGCGUGCGCAGGCGGUUCUCCAAGUCCGUUGUGAAAGCCCCGGGCUCAACCUGGGAAUGGCGAUGGAUACUGGCUCGCUAGAGUGCGGUAGAGGAGAGUGGAAUUCCCGGUGUAGCAGUGAAAUGCGUAGAGAUCGGGAGGAACAUCAGUUGCGAAGGCGGCUCUCUGGACCAGCACUGACACUGAGGCACGAAAGCGUGGGGAGCAAACAGG
rnacentral:rRNA from 1 species